GGGGGGUGACGCCUUGGCAUUUCCUGAGUCAUCCUCACACGGUGAAGCUGUAUCUUGCUCGCUGGUUCGAAGUCUCGCUAUUGUGGGGUUUUUCUUCCAUUCGGCGAAAAACCCGAGCCAGAUACAGUCUCGCCGUUUGAGAUGGCAUUGGGACGGGCGGAGGGAGGUUGCCGUUCGCAGUGACGAUGCUGGGCGUACACGCAGAAAGGGGGAUCCCAAUGUUUCUAAUCUACGCCUUUCAUCGGUUUGGUUUGUAAACUGUAUCGGAACAAAUGCAUUUCCUUUUGCAAAUUUCUUGUAAAAUAAUGCCAUUUGAAAUCAUAAAAAAACCAUUCAAAGAGCGUUUGAUCCAUUGUUUAUUUUUUCAGAAGUACACACCGACUCUUACAUAGAACGUUAUGUAUUUGUAUUGUGUAAUUUUCUAAAAGUUUGUACAGUACAUUUUAGAUACUACACAUAGAUUUAAUGAUAGCUUUCGUUCGAAGGGAUUUGUAUAUCAUGCCAAACGUUAAUUGAACAAUUUUUUUUGUAACCAUUGUGAUACAGCAGAAGAGGAGCCAAAGAAUUAAGAUAAUAAAUGUUGAAAAGAAAAAUUGACAAUUCUUUCUGUAAUCACUUUAAUCAUCACCGUUAUUAAUGCCAAAAAUCCUUUUCAGUCUGGCAUACACCUUACAAAAUUCUAUCACAUGCAAGAGAUCUACGCACGUAAUCAAGCUGGUUGGUCAUCAGCGAGGCUAUUUCGUCUGUCUGUAUGCGAGAGAUCAGGAGUGGUGAGAUGUGGUUAUGGGAUAAGGAAAAAGGGGAAAUCAUGUUUGUUCUUAGAAAUACUCACGUCAAGUUCGCUGGCCGAAUUACGCACAAUGCUGAAGUCAUACACACAAGUCCAAGUAUCUUACAUUCUCCAUGCUUCUCUGUAUUGAGAAUCCAACUGAUCGUCGUCGACUAAGUCUUGAAAAAUCAUCCGGGGCUGCGGUUGAACAUAGGCAAUACCGUGACAAACAGCGCAGCACACUCGAGCAAAUCCUGUUUGGUGAGCUUAAUCCCUUUUAUCCGUUACCUGUGCAAAUAUGUUUUCUCAGGUCCAGAAGGUUUUCCGAUACCAAGUCGUUACGCGAGUGUUCUACUCAUUGACGCGUGUACCAUGCGAGGUCGACUAAACUGGACGCACACCCGAAGAAACCGUAUAUAGCCCCGUUUCAAUUAGGAAUAAGAUUCCUGAGGUAUGGAGUAAUUCGAUGCAUGUCUCUCGAACCUAGAUGAUCCAGAAAGGCCAAGUACUGCAAGUAGCAUCAAUUCAUUUUUAUAAGGGCAUGCAUAUAUAUUUAUAUGAAAAGGGCUCAACAAUUACAUGAUUACGUUGAAUUGAAUAUCGAUAUCACAUUAAGUUGAACAUGAUUUUUCGUCAAUCGGCUACUGGAUAAUUACGUUCACAGAUUUAGUAUUGCUGCAUUAUUCCUCAGAUGCUAGAGCAAGGAAAAAGAUAUCUUCGUAAUAUAACGUUCUAGAUUAACGAACAAAAUAAUUCCUGAUGGGAAAUAUAUAUAAAAAUUGAGCAAACAAAGGAAUAGAAGUAUAUAUAUAUAUAUAUUGAUUCGUACAAAACCGACACAAAAUACCAAGUAUUGUUCCAUCAGUAUAAUUUGAGAUUGAGGGGUAUUUCGAAGUUUCCAAAAUAAUAGAGGAGUAUAUGCGAAUAAAAUUCCAUUAAAUUAUUAAAUAUACGUAAAAAUAUUUAUGGAAUAUUCAUGAAACGGAAUGAUAUGAUAUUUUUAAUUUGAAGGAGGUAUUGUUAUCAGCGAUAAAUCAGGAUAUUGGAAUGCAGGUGGAAGGUACUUAUUAAGGUUACAUCUGUGAUCGACCCCUGUGAGUUGAAGUCCAGCUUAAAGGAGUUCAAUCUCUUUAUAAGUCAUUAGAAAAAACGUGGUAUCAAACGUAUCUUCAUAAAUAUUAUUUUGAAAUGUUGCUUUUUCCAAAGAAAUUGUUCGGGUGUCUUUGUUUUAUACUGCAGGAGUGGCUGGAAAGAUAAAUUGUGGGUGGCGUAUAAGCGACUACAGCCAGGCAAUUGGUUCUGUUGCUGGAGCGCGUCACGUUCAUGUUGGUUGAAGGUAUAUGCUGUAUAUUAAGUAGAAUACUUUGUAGAAAGUGGGUUGGAAUGGCUGGGGGGUGCGGGAGGGAGGGGCGAAGAGAGUACAUGUUAUGUUUCAGCUAGAAAAAUGGGCUAGAGAACACGUUUAAUCAACUGUGCACGCUUCUUGACCUACACACACGUUACGUAUAAAUCCUAACUGGAUCCUGACAUAGUUACUACCGAUAACUGACCGAUGAGAUACUUGAUUUAAGUACAAGCUACGCUUUUAAGUAGAGGCAGUGUGAAAAGAAGGUAACAGCGUAAUUGCAAGCAGUUCAAAUUUGUAAAAAUUGUGCAUAUAUAAGUAGGGGGAAUAUCGGGGAAUUGGGUAUGCAAUCUUGUGUUGUGAGCUACAGGGUUGAUGCUGUUGCUAUCCUUUAACUGCGAUGGAUGAAAUCUGGAAUGGAAUUCGUUAAUAAUGGAUGGAUACACCCAAGCCGGUCGUUUUCUAUGUAGUAGCAGAAAUAUUGAUUCUACAGUUUCAGUACUUUGAAGCAGAUACAGCUAUAUGUACACUGUAAUCAAUAAGCAUGAUACGAUUGUAAGUUUUUUCUGCACUUAAAUUGCAUUCGGCUGUUGAAGGAUUUGGAGAUGUACAACGAAACAUUGAUUAAGGAAUGGAAGAGGAUGAGAAGAGUAUACUCUUGUACAGAAACGUAUUUUCAUUUUGCUUAAAGCAUUAUCUUCGAUAAGAUAUAUUUUAGAUCGACGAGGGGUGAUCCAUUCCAGCAUGAGUAUUUCAUCAAUGGAUUCUUAACAAUACUGUGAAGAUGCUUUUCAUGUGUUAUAAUUUUAAUAGAGUUCACGUGGCUACUUAAUAUGUGUGUGAGAGAGAGAGAGAAGUACCUGGAGAAAUUGGGGAGGGCUGUAAGACAAUCUAUUGAGUUUUCUUCACAGAAAGAUAUUAGCAGUUGACCAUACAUUUGAAACUGAUAAAUUGCAAACGACAGCAUGACGGCAUUAAAGCAUAUGAAGUUACCAAAUUAGGCUUGCUCAAAUGUAUAAAUGACUGAUAAUGUUUUCUGGAGUAUCUUUGGUGGAUUUGAUUUUUGCUUCAGGAAGUGCAAGAAAAUUUCACUCGUCGAGUAAUGAGACUGUACUGAGCUGCUAUUUUAAGGGGCAAUCCCCGUAUACCGAAGUACAUUAUGUAUGUAUAUAUUACUUUAAAGAACAUUAUUUUCAUUACAUUAGGAACAAGAAAUAUGGCAAAUGGGAAAAUUUUCAAAAACUUUAGAUAUAAAGUAUUAAAAGAUGUAUUUGAAAAAGUAAAAUUCAUUAUAUUUGAGAUGCAAAUAUUUAAUAACGAGUUUGUACAGAACGAAGAUAAAAGAUCAAAAUCAACAUCAUUGGGUUUUUGUCGAGUAACUGUAAGUAACAGUUUGAUUAGGAUUCAAUAUUAAUAUUAAUCGUGGUAUUGAAUGUUUUCGAUGAGUGUAAACAUAGUGUUAAUGCUUAUAAUGAUUAGUGCUUUGCUAAAUGUAAAAUUUUUGAAAAUAUUCAGUUUCAAAUGAAGUUAUUGUUUCACUUUAAAGUUCAGUUACACCGUGUUACAAGUGUUGAAAGUUACAAAAUAUGUAUUAAGUUCGUGAUUACGUGGGAAUUGUGAAACGUUGAACAUCAAAAAAUGAUUAAUCCAAAGUCUGCUAUGUAUCAGAUAAUCCAUGAACAUGUUACUAACAGUAUUCAUAGUUCUAGUGAGUGAAAAAAAAGUUCAGUUUUCCUAAGACAAAUCUUUUGAAGAAGAGACUGAAAGAGUAAAUGCAGUUAAUUUGUGAUUUACAGUAGUAGUGUUUUCUUAAUGUUGCAUUAUGCUUUGAUAAUUUACUAAUUUUUAUUCUAGGGUAUUCGUUUGAUAAUUCAGGAUUUUAUAUGAUUUCUGCUUGUGUAAUUUAAUGUAUGAUUGCAGACUUGAUUUACCAUUUUAAUAGAAAUAUAAUAGCGUGAGAUGAGUUAGGACAGGAAAGCUUGCCGCUAAUUGUUUGUUAAGUAGAUAACAUUCGCAAGAAAAUAAGUUAACAUAGAAAAUGAAGCAGUUCGAAGACUGAAGCUAAUGAACGUUUCACGUAAAUAUUCUCACAUGUAUCCAUUAUACAUUUUGAUCUCUGCCAAAACGUGUGGAAAAGACAAUGCAAGUAUAUGCUAUAUGUAAAAUCUCUGGUACCCAGUUCUCGCAAAUUCAUGGGAAUCUAUGCUCAGCAGAUAAGUUAAAACAACGUGACAAUUUAGGAUUUAAUCAUUUAUAUAAAUUAUAUUGUGGUUAUUUCAUGUGGAGUAGUUUGUAAACGUACAUUUUUUUUUCAUGUUCCAUGCUUCCCUUUCGGAAAAGCUAACCAAAUGUUUUAGGAAUCGAUCAUCACGAUCAUAUGAGAAUUCGUACAAACAAGAAAUCUUAAUAUCUGGGAGAAGCAUAACAGCGAUUUAGAUCUCUAUUCAUUGUCUUACGGAAUUUGGUGGUAUUCUGGCUCGUCAUUAGCAGCUGUUAGCAGUUUUCUGGAUUGUCGAAUAACUGGAAAAUCGGAUGAGAUUCGUUGAGUUCGUGGGUUUUCUUCUAUUUUCUGACGAAAAAUCAAAGGCCGGAUUAUGAAAUAUAAAAUGGAGGAAUAAGUUGAAUGCCAAUUUGAUGCUACAACUCGAAAAUUGAAGUCGACUAUAUAUAUCUGGAUUGUUCGUUAUUAUUGUAUUCUAUGAUGGAAAUGCGAGUUCAAAAAGGGGGAAGGCAGUUGAGGAUUUCCACUUGGAUUUUUCAAAGGAUCUGUUGUAUAGGCAUUUUGAGAUAGAGGAAUACAGGAUGCAGAGUUCCAGCAAAAAUGCCUUCCUUUUUAUUUAAAAAAAAUUUAUUUAUAGCAGUAUGAUUUUAAUGAAUUUGAUCAAGAGUUACAUUUUAAUAUUUAAGAAACAGGGAAGAAUUUCAAACGUACUUCAUCUAAUGUUUUCCAACAUCUUUUCUAACUAAAUCUGAAGAAUUGAAAAUUGAAAAAUGGGCAAUUACAUAUGCAGUAUCGAAUGAUAUAACAUAGUCAAACUAGAACUUAUAAAAGAACUCAUUACCAGUAACUGAAACGCCAAGAAUACUGUAGGAAUUUAUGUAAAAAAAGCUUUUUUGAGAUUGGAGUGUAUACUUGUCAGACAUAAAAAGAAAGUAUUAAGUUAGAUUUCAUGAGGUCUAAAAAGUAGGUUACUACCUUGGGCUUCAUUAUAUGAAGAAUAAGCAAGAAACUAUAUGAGACGAAGAAAGUAUCACCAUAAGGACAUCGUAUAGUAGGAAAAGAUACUACCACAAAAUAACGCGCAACGAAGAAGAUGAAGAAAAUAAAAUAACGUGGGAACAGCAUUCGAUAGAAGUAAUAUAGGCAGGAGAAAAGGCUUUUCAGUACGGAGUUUUAUGGAAGACCUAAAUAAAAAAGAUUUUUUUCACCAUGGGUCAUCAUAGAAGUCGGAUAAUUUUGAAUACCGAGACUUCCUGAAAUGUAGACCAAUUUUUAACGUGGGACUUCGUGGGAUAUACAUAGUAAUCAACGCGGGACUUCGUGGGAGGCGCACGGUAAUCAACGUGGGACUUCGUGGGACGUGGACCAGGGGCCAUCAUGGGACUUCAUGAGAAGUGGACCAGGAGGUAGUCAUCGUGGGACUUCAUGGGACGUGGAUCAGUAGUCAUCGUGGGACUUCGUGGGACGUGGACCAAGAGUCAGCGUGGGACUUCGUGGGACGUGGACCGGUAAUCAUCAUGGGACUUCGUGGAACAUGGACCAGGGAUCAUCGUGGAACAUCGUGGAACAUGGACCAGGGAUCAUCGUGGAACAUCGUGGAACAUGGACCAGGGAUCAUCGUGGGACUUCGUGGGACGUGGAUAGUUACCAACAUGGAACAUCGUGGGACUUGAUGGGAUUUGGGAAAGUUUGCUACCAAUCUUCUACGUGGGACUACGUGGGACUUCGCGGGAUUUGAAUACAGUAUCAACGUGGGACUUAAUGGGAUUCAAGGACACCAUCAACGUGGGACUUCGUGGGAUUCGAGGACAGCAUCAACGUGGGGCUUCGUGGGAUUCGAAGAAGAAGAACCAACGCUGAAAUUUCAUUAGGAAGACUAUUCAAAGAAGAUACCAACACUGAAGAUUUGAAGACUUCACAGGAAGAUACAUUUUUCAUCAUCUUUAAAUUUGUGAAACAUUAAAAAAUAUCAACAUGGCAAAAUUCUAUGAGAUCUAGAAAACUAACACACGAUUUUGUAAUGUAUGCAUUAGAAGUUACAAUUGAUAAAUUUGUGACAUACACGACAUUUUAGCAAAAUAUUCCGUACAAUUAUAAAAAACUUUAUGAUAUUUUAAAAACAAAUGUCACAGUGAGUUUUUAAAAAAGGGUAUUGCACAUGUUGAAAUUACGUAAAUUCUAGUAGUAAAAAUGUCAUAAAAUUAUUAAUUUGUAAAUUGACAAACGCAAGAAAAGUAAAAUAAAGAAAACGAUGUACGCUCGUA